rnacentral:rRNA from 1 species
UACGUAGGUGGCGAGCGUUGUCCGGAUUUACUGGGCGUAAAGGGAGCGUAGGCGGACUUUUAAGUGAGAUAUGAAAUACCCGGGCUCAACUUGGGUGCUGCAUUUCAAACUGGAAGUCUAGAGUGCAGGAGAGGAGAAUGGAAUUCCUAGUGUAGCGGUGAAAUGCGUAGAGAUUAGGAAGAACACCAGUGGCGAAGGCGAUUCUCUGGACUGUAACUGACGCUGAGGCUCGAAAGCGUGGGGAGCAAACAGGAUUAGAUACCCG